rnacentral:ncRNA from 2 species
GGGUCUGGAGAUAGUUUUUAUCUUCGGAGGUAUCCUUAGAUGGUCGGGCCGCCAUCC